GAUAAACGCUAGCGGCAGGCUUAACACAUGCAAGUCGAGGGGCAGCAUAGAUUGUAGCAAUACAAUUGGUGGCGACCGGCGCACGGGUGCGUAACGCGUAUGCAACCUACCCGUCACAGGGGGAUAAUCCGGAGAAAUCUGGUCUAAUACCCCAUAACAUAUGGAUCGGCAUCGGUUCAUGUUGAAAUUUUCGGAGGUGACGGAUGGGCAUGCGUAGCAUUAGCUUGUUGGUGAGGUAACGGCUCACCAAGGCGACGAUGCUUAGGGGGACUGAGAGGUUUUCCCCCCACACUGGUACUGAGACACGGACCAGACGCCUACGGGAGGCAGCAGUGAGGAAUAUUGGUCAAUGGGCGCAAGCCUGAACCAGCCAUGCCGCGUGCUGGAUGACGGCUCUAUGAGUUGUAAACUGCUUUUGUACGAGGGUAAAGUGGGUUACGUGUAACCUUUUGAAAGUAUCGUACGAAUAAGGAUCGGCUAACUCCGUGCCAGCCGCCGCGGUAA
rnacentral:rRNA from 1 species